UUCUUUUGGUGUUAAUCUAAGGUAAGGCCUGCCCACUGAAAAGUAAGUAAUGAAGGGCCGCGGUAUUAUGACCGUGCAAAGGUAGCAUAAUCAUUAGUCUUUUAAUUGAGAAGGCUGGAAUGAAUGGUUUGACGAAGUAAAAACUGUCUUAUUAUAAUAAUUAGAAGUUAACAUUUUUAAGUGAAAAGGCUUAAAUGCACAUAGAGGACGAGAAGACCCUAUAGAGUUUUAUAUUGAUUUAUAUAAUUACUUAUUAAGUUGAUUAUAAAUAAUUAUUUAAUAUAUAUUUUGUUGGGUAGUGACAUAAAGAUAUAAUAAACUCUUUAUUUUAUUAACAUUGAUUUAUGGAUAAUUGAUCGCCAUUUUUAAUGAUCAAAAGGUUAAAUUACCUUAGGGAUAACAGCGUAAUUUUCUUUAAGAUUGUUCGUAUCAACAAGGAAGAUUGCGACCUCGAUGUUGGAUUAAGAAUAUAAUUAGAUGCA
rnacentral:rRNA from 1 species